rnacentral:misc_RNA from 1 species
CUUGGACUAGAGUAGAUGAGGGAAAAUGUGAUCUAGCAUUAGCCAGAAAUUAUAGAUUAACAAUUUUUGUCAGGUGUUCUGAAGUGUGAGGCACAAUUCACCCAUGAAAUUCUACGAAAGAAAUAUGGGUGAACAUGGACCCAUCUUCUUAAAAAUCUGGUGGUGUGAGAAUUCUCAACCUUGGUAUUUUAUACGUCAAGAACAAGGCUGAGUUCAUGCAAGAAUUGUCUGCUUGCUAAAGAAGGGGCACUAAUUUACAUAUCGACUGUUGCCUUUACCUAAGAAAAAAAAAGAAAGAAAAGUUUGUGCUUACAAGGGAUAAAGGGUAAUCGAGACCCCAAAAAUUUAUCAUUUAAUGGCCAUCACAUUAUUUAAAUCCACACCUCUGCAGAAAAUUACAGAGAACACAGAGAAAAAGGAGAGUAAUACUGACAAGAUAUAAAG